AGACCCGGGGCCCGCCUGCCCGCUCCACGGAGGCCGGAUGCCUGCUCCAGGGCGGUGGCACGCGCCGCGCUUCCAGGUCACGUCCUGUCGCACCCGCCCGCCCCUGGGGUCCGCGUGCUCGCCCGCCGCAGGAGGCUGAACCCUGUGUUCCCACGCUCGCCGGGGACCUCAUUGCACCCGUUCCUGUCCGCGGGUCGGUUCCUGCCUUUCGCGCGGCGCUGGGCCCCACUGUCCUCUCUCUCUACUUUUCUCCUCUUUGCUUUCACUCCCACCCUCGCGCUUCAGGGGCCGGGUCCCGUCCCGCCCCAGCCCGCGUCUCUCCCUGGACCCGACGUCCGGCUGCGCGCGUGGACCAGGACACCUAGGCUUUCACCAGCGCCCGUUUCCUCCGGACGCGGCCGUCUAGCGCCGAAGCGGUCCCUGAGCCCGAGGCCGCCACGCCCAGGGCAGGGCGGUGGUCGGGUACCUGCCCGCAGGGAGCUUCCACUCGCCCCUCGCGGGCUCUGCGUUCGGCUCGUCUACUCGCUCUGCUCUUCCCUAUGCGGUUCUCUUCCCUCUUUCUCACUUGGUUCUUUAGUGUUUUCAUCCUCUGAUCAGGGUUAAUCAAACAAGUUCCAUUCACGGUGGUAAACAUUGUUACCUGUGAACACCGCCACCACCGGGACUAGCGAGCAUUGUCGCAAACAGGCAUUAGCAGCGUAUCCAACACAUCCCCACCAGCAAGGUUAUUGAGCUUGGUUUGUGACUGCCCCAUGUGCAGCCCUCUGCGCUGCGCUUGGGUUUAACAUGCUUGAAAAAUGGGUUCGAAAUGUGGCCGCAAGCCACAAUAGGGACAAGGCUUUUGAAUUUAUCGCUGAAUCACACAGGCCACAUCAUUCAUCCUGAAGCAAAAGUCUUUUAAAGAUACUUUUAACCGUUAUCCUAACUGAUGUACUCUCUUAUCAAAAAGUCAGGCUCUGGUGGCUGCUCUAAUGGAGUGCACAUCCUGUCCACCUCCUUGAUUGUUUUCCUCCUACCUCCUGGGAAAGAAAGCAAUUUCCCACCACAAUACCCCACUUCUCCAAAUCCUCUACACAGUGCGGCUCCUCCCAAGCAUCCCAUUGCCACAGAAAUAAAAUCCAGCGUAUGAAAGUGGCACUGUCUAUGACACUCUGUACCAGUGUAUUGUAUACUAUCGAGCUUCUUCCUGUAAUUGCUUUUUUGUGUGAACCUCUUCCCCACAGCAUUAUCAAUUCUUUUAAAUCCGAGAGCAUUUUAAGUAUUCCCUCCUCCAAGACUUUCCAUUGAGCUCGGCAAACAGAAGGGGUUUAAUAAAUGUGUUGAUGCGGCGUGAGGCAGGCAUUGCUCUAGUGAAAUUUGAUUGCUUUUUUAAUGAUUGAAAAAUAAAAACAAUUGCCUGGCAGACAUCUCACUAAAACAAUGGUUAAUAAUUAUGGUGGUAAUGAUUUGAAUGGCAGCCUUGACACCCCGAGGCAACCAAAGGGACUCAUCGAUUCUCCUCCAACUGCUGCUUAUGUGGAUACAAAAGAAUCAUCCACCAGACUUUGAGCAUUAGGGACAUUGUGUAUCACAGAGCAGCUGGUUGGCUAAAUAAGGCUGUCAGCUGUCCCUGAUACCAACCAACCCCCCUAAAGCUGAAGAGUGACUAGAAAGGACUGUCCCCAACCUUCAGAGGUGGAGAUCGGGUGAUGUUCUGUUUUACACUGGGAGCUACUGAGCUAUAUGCUUAACGUCUUUUUGUGCAGAAAAUGGAAUGAGAGGCCACCUGGGUGACCACUGCUGCUCUUGGGAAUCUAGCUGGGGUAUGUUUUGGUGGUGGGGCAAAAGCAGGCAUAUCCCAGG
rnacentral:lncRNA from 1 species